UCUCCGUUGGUGAACCAGCGGAGGGAUCAUUACAGGACUCGCAAGACUCCUUACACCCUGUGAACCUUACUGUAUACGCGUUGCUUCGGCGGGUCCGCCCGCCGGCAGCAUACCACAUUCUGUUUCUCUGCGUUGGCAUCUCGAGAAAAAAGCAAAUAAGUUAAAACUUUCAACAACGGAUCUCUUGGUUCCG
rnacentral:misc_RNA from 1 species